GACGAACGCUGGCGGCGUGCUUAACACAUGCGAGUCGAACGGAAAGGCCCUGCUUUUGUGGCGUGCUCGAGUGGCGAACGGGUGAGUAACACGUGAGUAACCUGCCCUUGACUUUGGGAUAACUUCAGGAAACUGGGGCUAAUACCGGAUAGGAGCUCCUGCUGCAUGGUGGGGGUUGGAAAGUUUCGGCGGUUGGGGAUGGACUCGCGGCUUAUCAGCUUGUUGGUGGGGUAGUGGCUUACCAAGGCUUUGACGGGUAGCCGGCCUGAGAGGGUGACCGGCCACAUUGGGACUGAGAUACGGCCCAGACUCCUACGGGAGGCAGCAGUGGGGAAUAUUGCACAAUGGGCGGAAGCCUGAUGCAGCAACGCCGCGUGCGGGAUGACGGCCUUCGGGUUGUAAACCGCUUUCGCCUGUGACGAAGCGUGAGUGACGGUAAUGGGUAAAGAAGCACCGGCUAACUACGUG
rnacentral:rRNA from 1 species